GUGUCACUUCAGCAACACACAUACUAAAAUUGGAAUGAUAUAGAGAAGGUUAACUUGGAUCCUGUGCAAGGAUGAUAUGAAAAAUUAAUGAAAUAUUCUGUAUUUUU
ensembl:snRNA U6 U6 spliceosomal RNA